GUGGCUGGGGCUCAGCGGCAGAGCACUUGCCUAGCAUGCAUGAGGCACUGGGUUCAAUCCUUAGCACCACCUACA
rnacentral:tRNA from 1 species